rnacentral:rRNA from 1 species
UUUGAUCCUGGCUCAGAGCGAACGCUGGCGGCAGGCCUAACACAUGCAAGUCGAACGAACUCUUCGGAGUUAGUGGCGGACGGGUGAGUAACACGUGGGAACGUGCCUUUAGGUUCGGAAUAACUCAGGGAAACUUGUGCUAAUACCGAAUGUGCCCUUCGGGGGAAAGAUUUAUCGCCUUUAGAGCGGCCCGCGUCUGAUUAGCUAGUUGGUGAGGUAAAGGCUCACCAAGGCGACGAUCAGUAGCUGGUCUGAGAGGAUGAUCAGCCACAUUGGGACUGAGACACGGCCCAAACUCCUACGGGAGGCAGCAGUGGGGAAUCUUGCGCAAUGGGCGAAAGCCUGACGCAGCCAUGCCGCGUGAAUGAUGAAGGUCUUAGGAUUGUAAAAUUCUUUCACCGGGGACGAUAAUGACGGUACCCGGAGAAGAAGCCCCGGCUAACUUCGUGCCAGCAGCCGCGGUAAUACGAAGGGGGCUAGCGUUGCUCGGAAUUACUGGGCGUAAAGGGAGCGUAGGCGGACAUUUAAGUCAGGGGUGAAAUCCCGGGGCUCAACCUCGGAAUUGCCUUUGAUACUGGGUGUCUUGAGUAUGAGAGAGGUGUGUGGAACUCCGAGUGUAGAGGUGAAAUUCGUAGAUAUUCGGAAGAACACCAGUGGCGAAGGCGACACACUGGCUCAUUACUGACGCUGAGGCUCGAAAGCGUGGGGAGCAAACAGGAUUAGAUACCCUGGUAGUCCACGCCGUAAACGA